rnacentral:rRNA from 1 species
AAUGGGUCAGCGACUUAUAUUCUGUAGCAAGGUUAACCGAAUAGGGGAGCCGAAGGGAAACCGAGUCUUAACUGGGCGUUAAGUUGCAGGGUAUAGACCCGAAACCCGGUGAUCUAGCCAUGGGCAGGUUGAAGGUUGGGUAACACUAACUGGAGGACCGAACCGACUAAUGUUGAAAAAUUAGCGGAUGACUUGUGGCUGGGGGUGAAAGGCCAAUCAAACCGGGAGAUAGCUGGUUCUCCCCGAAAGCUAUUUAGGUAGCGCCUCGUGAAUUCAUCUCCGGGGGUAGAGCACUGUUUCGGCAAGGGGGUCAUCCCGACUUACCAACCCGAUGCAAACUGCGAAUACCGGAGAAUGUUAUCACGGGAGACACACGGCGGGUGCUAACGUCCGUCGUGAAGAGGGAAACAACCCAGACCGCCAGCUAAGGUCCCAAAGUCAUGGUUAAGUGGGAAACGAUGUGGGAAGGCCAAGACAGCCAGGAUGUUGGCUUAGAAGCAGCCAUCAUUUAAAGAAAGCGUAAUAGCUCACUGGUCGAGUCGGCCUGCGCGGAAGAUGUAACGGGGCUAAACCAUGCACCGAAGCUGCGGCAGCGACGCUUAUGCGUUGUUGGGUAGGGGAGCGUUCUGUAAGCCUGUGAAGGUGUACUGUGAGG